GAGACUAAUGAGUAGUUGCAAAGGGGGAAAUUAAUAACUAUACAGUGGAGAAACAGAACCACACUGUAACUAGGUGACAGAAAUGAAUACCACCAUCCAGGAGGUGAUGGGCCUCGUACCCUCCAACUGUGGUAACCGGGGAAUUGUCACCUAUGAUUUGUCCUGCAGGGAUACAUAAACUGAAUCUUAUCGGGAGAAAACAUCAGACACACCCCAAGGGAAGGAAAUAUAAAAUGACUGGUCUGUGUUCUUCAAAAAUGCCAAUGUCAUAAAUUAAAAAAAAGGGGGGGUGGGGAAGAAGAAAUAAAGCGUAGCAACCCCAUCUGAUUAAAGGAAACAAGAGGUCAGGACAACUAAACGUCACAUACAAGCCUCAGCUGGAGCGUAGGGCGAGGCUCCUGUAGGGCAUGAUCUCCCGUGGUCUGCAGUUCCGCUUCCGCCCUGUCAGUUACCUUGGCCCCUCGGACCGGAAGCAGAUGAUCCUCCCCGGCCCGCGGGUCAGAGGCGGUGCGAGCCUGAGCUAGGGCUGCACGCCCGCGCCUGCGCAGUCCACACUUUCGGCACCCAGGCGCGCAUUUUCUGCUCUCCCGAGGCUGUAGCGAGAAGGGUGAGCGGGCACCUUCCCGUAGGCUCAUUACGUUCUGUCGUUCCAGGUGCCGUUACUCAUUCCGUGCCUACGACCUGUGCCAUCCGCAUGUGGAAAAAGCCUUGAUUGCUCAUUUUCAUCUAUGUUCAGAAAGGGGCGAGUGCUAAAGUUUCCUCCAGGAUGACUCUUCAGUUCUUGUGGCUGAAUUGAAACAAUGAAAGGCACAAGGCAAUGUAAUCUAGGAAGAAUAGAAGAGGAAGAACUAAAUCCAGUCUUAGAAUCUUGGGGGCCUGUUUACUCCGAUUCAUCCCCGGGAGACUGAGCAAACAACCCAUCGCUGUGUGCAUCCACUGAGGUGAUGCCGUCCCACACGCAUGGCCUGAGCAAGCCGCCAGCAACAGACUGGAUGUGAAUUUCGGGCACAAGCAGAACAGAAACACUGAACGUCAUUUCUUUUUAAAGCAAGGCAACAAAAGUUGUUCUUAAGGGAGUAUCAGGACUUCAUUGAACUUCAUUACAAGUAAUUUUUUUUUGUAAAUUUUUUUAAUGUUUUUAUUUAUUUUUAAGAGAGAGCAGGACAAAGCGUGAGCAGGGGAGGGGCAGAGAGAGAGGGAGACACAGAAUCCGGAGCAGACUCUAGGCUCUGAGCCGUCAGCACAGAGCCCAAUGCGGGGCUCAAACCUACGAACUGUGAGAUCAUGACCUGAGCCACCCUCAGGCUCUCAACCGACUGAGCCACCCAGGCGCCUCUCAGAAGAGAAUUCACCCUUAGCUUCGAGGGUGAGGAUGUGGCCUGAAUAUCUCCAAUCAGAAUGAAUCUCAGGAAUCUCGUUCGGAAACAUUCCCUUGUGGAACAUGGACUUACAAUCAAAUUACACAGAAGAAAGGCAAGACUGGAAAGAUAAAGUGCCUUGUUCAAGAUCAUCAGCAGUGGACAGCAACUGGAAACUCUGAAGAGUGUGAACUCUGUGAGCAAUGAAUGAAUUGGUGAUUGGGUGAACCACUUAAACCCUUUAAUUAGAAAAAAAGGAAAGAAAUUGGGGAAGUUUGGAGAGUGAAAGAUGUUGCUAUGAAUAGUCAUUGCCGGACAACAGGAUGCUCCCAGGGAGACUGGGGUCUAUGGCCAACUUCACAUGUCACAACACGCAAGGGAGGAGAGAGAUGGCAUUUUCUGCUGACUUUACCUGAAAGGAAAAACCAAUUUCUCAGAAGCCCUAAGUGAAGUCCUUCCUGAGAUUCAUUGGCUUGAGUUGGGUAAUGUCGCCAUAAUGAUCCAAAUCCUCUGGGAAUGUCAAAUGCUGAUUGUGUUUUUGAGCUCUUCAGUCAGCACAUAGAUAAAUUACCUUAGACCAGCGAUUUUCAAAGUGCAGUUAGGGGACCUCUAGGGGCCCCUGAGACCCAUUUUUCAUAAAAAUGAAUUAUUUUUGUUAACAUAUAAUGGGUUUAUCAUUGCUCUUUUAAAAGGGUUAACAAAUAUGUAUUUCUUCAUUUCUGUUUUAGUUUCUAAAAUGGUAAUUAUUAACAGAUAUGACCCAGAUGAACAAAAACUCUUUGGAAAUGCAUUAAUUUGAGGCAUGUACAGAGGAUCCUGAGACUGCAUGUUUGGAACCCCUUCCAUAGACUCCAGGGGCUGGUUUUCUCGUGGGCAGGUAGACUACAUGAAGGGGCAGUGUGGAGCCACAUAAAAUCAGUGUCCCGUCGGAGACGGGUCAGCGGGAAUGCAUGUGGGGUAGGCAGUCGGCACGAAGAAUGGCCGUAAGGCAGAAAUGGAGGGUGAAAUCAGGGCAGUUUAUCAACAUUUCCUUUCUUGUUAAAUUGUUCCAGAGGAUCAUGUGCUACUUCUGUAGUUUGGGAAAAUGUACUUCAUUAAAAUAGUUAAAGAUAAUAAUGCUGAGUGAUUUUCAGUUGUCACAGCAAAAUUAAGUUGAACGUAGUCUUCAACCAUGACUAAGACCUCUUCCAUAGCAAGGAUGAAGCAAAAAAAAAACCCCAAAAGAAUUAACUGGAUUAUUAUAUUGCACCCCAAAUCCUUAUCCUAGGCAUUUCAAUAUAAUUUGGGUCAAAACUACCGUUAUUCCUACACAGUAAUGAUAAUAUUUACUAUAGAUUUAAAGUGAAUUUUGCUUUCACGUCUAAGUUGGAAAACCCAGAAAUUUGGCUAGGUUCUUUCAUCAAGAUAAAUAGUACAGUUUAUUUCUAGUAUUGUGUAAUAGUGCUAGUUGAAUAUUGCUU